rnacentral:rRNA from 1 species
AUUGAACGCUGGCGGCAGGCCUAACACAUGCAAGUCGAACGGUAACAGGAAGAAGCUUGCUUCUUUGCUGACGAGUGGCGGACGGGUGAGUAAUGUCUGGGAAACUGCCUGAUGGAGGGGGAUAACUACUGGAAACGGUAGCUAAUACCGCAUAACGUCGCAAGACCAAAGAGGGGGACCUUCGGGCCUCUUGCCAUCGGAUGUGCCCAGAUGGGAUUAGCUAGUAGGUGGGGUAACGGCUCACCUAGGCGACGAUCCCUAGCUGGUCUGAGAGGAUGACCAGCCACACUGGAACUGAGACACGGUCCAGACUCCUACGGGAGGCAGCAGUGGGGAAUAUUGCACAAUGGGCGCAAGCCUGAUGCAGCCAUGCCGCGUGUAUGAAGAAGGCCUUCGGGUUGUAAAGUACUUUCAGCGGGGAGGAAGGGAGUAAAGUUAAUACCUUUACUCAUUGACGUUACCCGCAGAAGAAGCGCCGGCUAACUCCGUG